rnacentral:rRNA from 1 species
CCUACGGGAGGCAGCAGUGGGGAAUAUUGCACAAUGGGGGAAACCCUGAUGCAGCGACGCCGCGUGAGUGAAGAAGUAUUUCGGUAUGUAAAGCUCUAUCAGCAGGGAAGAAAAUGACGGUACCUGAUUAAGAAGCCCCGGCUAACUACGGGCCAGCAGCCGCGGUAAUACGUAGGGGGAAAGCGUUAUCCGGGUUGAGUGGGUGUAAAGGGAGAGGAGCCGGGAGCACAAGUCAGGGUGGAAGUGCCGGGGCUUAACCCCGGAACUGCUUUGGAACCGGGGCAGUGAGGGUGCAGGAGAGGUAAGUGGAAUUCCUAGUGUAGCGGUGAAAUGCGUAGAUAUUAGGAGGAACACCAGUGGCGAAGGCGGCUUACUGGACUGUAACUGACGUUGAGGCUCGAAAGCGUGGGGAGCAAACAGGAUUAGAUACCCUAGUAGUC